rnacentral:rRNA from 1 species
UACGAAGGGGGCUAGCGUUGUUCGGAAUUACUGGGCGUAAAGCGCGCGCAGGCGGCUAUCCAAGUCAGUGGUGAAAGCCCGGAGCUCAACUCCGGAACUGCCAUUGAAACUGUUUAGCUUGAGGAUGAGAGAGGUGAGUGGAAUUCCCAGUGUAGAGGUGAAAUUCGUAGAUAUUGGGAAGAACACCGGUGGCGAAGGCGGGUCUCUGGGCCGAUAUUGACGCUGAGGAGCGAAAGCGUGGGGAGCAAACAGG